AUAAAAAGUGAAUUUCAACAAACAUCAUAUCGUAUAACAAAAAGGUUAUAAAUCCUCGAAAUCUCUCGUACAAACAAACAAAAGAGUUGACGUCAUACAAUUUUUUGGUCCAAGCAUCUCGGUCACCAACAAUCACAAAAGAAACCAAAACACAACUUAUUUAUUUACAGAAACUGUGAGAGAAGAUGAAAACUUGGAAGUAACGCUCACAAGGCUUCAGUAACAGAGUAAUGCACCUUGGUGACCGAUGUUUUCAGGAAGAUGCUUCCACAAUGAGAGUCUGAGCUCCCGUCGUCGAAUCUCUCAAACUCGUUGACAGUGGUAACCAAACUUUCGUGAGAGUUAAAUGAUCUUUGAUACCGAUCAGAACUACUAACGGUUUUGCGAGCCUGCCUUUUGUCUUUGCCACCACUCCCGCGCGAAGAGUUGCUGCCCUUCUGUCCUUUUUUCCCAUUCUUCCUGUUCUUAGAUUUCUGCUGUUUCUUGUUGUUUUUGAUGCAAUGGCACAAGGACGUCUGAGGAGGGUCGUACACAUCAGGAGCCCAUGUCACAGACAUCUUUGGUGACUCCCCAUAGUGUUGUGCUCGGCUACCUUUCAUCGCAGAUACGAGCUUCGCAGGAGCUGGUAAAGAUAUGGACCGUGAAAAGGCUUGAUGCACAGACUCAUUACAGGACACAUCACCCAUCGCUGUUUGUGGUUUCUUAUCAUUGUCUGAAGAAUCAUUAGGAGGGGAUGCUACAACAGGAAAGGGAAAGGACUUGGAUUUGCUUAAACACCUCUUAGAUGAGUUGUUCGCGGAAAGUUCAACCUCUUUUUGUUUGUUUCUAUCAUUAGAAUUAUCGCUGCAAUUCACAUUACGUUUACAUUCUGAACCUUGAGUAUCUUCAAUGCUCAAAGACUUCUUAAAAAAUCCAUCAAGAUCAUUAAACAAUGCAGCAUCAAUUUCUUUCAAAGACGACUGUAGAUCAUCCACCAAACCGUCUACAUCUUGGAGAGCCAACUUCUGAUGAACCGAAGGAAUGUCCAUUCAAGCUUAUGUAAGACACAAGAAAUUUGCUAGAACCUCGCACAAUAAUCAGGGAUGCAAAAACCCUCUCAACGAGUAGCCAAUUACCAGUGACUCGCUUUCAGAGGCUUCGACCGCCAAAAAACCUCAAGAUCAAGAUCAAAACAAUAAACACUUACCGUACAACUAUAAUUUCUCUAGGAAUUCCAAACCUCGAACGGACCAGAAGAGCAAGGAGAAGGAAAGAGAAGAUUGAAGAAUACGAAUAGAGCACGAAAUGCACUAAAAGAACCCCAUGUUAACUAAGAUUACCACGCCGAU
rnacentral:misc_RNA from 1 species